GUUCACUUCGGCAGCACAUAUACUAAAAUUGGAACAAUACAGUGAAGAUUAGCAAGGCCCUGCACAAGGAUGACACACAGAUAUUAAGUUUUACUAGUAUAU